AGCAGUUUAGCUUAAUUGGUAAAGUACUUGACUGGUAAUCAACGGGAUGUGAGUUCAAGUCCCAUGGCUGGUU
rnacentral:tRNA from 1 species